rnacentral:rRNA from 1 species
UCGAGAAUCUUCGGCAAUGGGCGAAAGCCUGACCGAGCAAUGCCGCGUGCGGGAUGAAGGCCUUCGGGUUGUAAACCGCUGUCAGUUGGGAGGAGGGGUCCGUGAAGAGCGGAUCUUGACCUAUCUUCAGAGGAAGUCCGGGCUAAGUUCGUGCCAGCAGCCGCGGUAAUACGAACCGGACAAACGUUAUUCGGAAUUAUUGGGCUUAAAGGGUGCGUAGGCGGUGCGGUAAGUGCGGUGUGAAAUCCCACGGCUCAACCGUGGAAUUGCGCUGCAUACUGCCGUGCUAGAGGGAGACAGGGGUAAGCGGAACUGAUGGUGGAGCGGUGAAAUGCGUUGAUAUCAUCAGGAACACCAGUGGCGAAAGCGGCUUACUGGGUCUCUUCUGACGCUGAGGUACGAAAGCUAGGGUAGCGAACGGGAUUAGAUACCCGGGUAGUCC